rnacentral:lncRNA from 1 species
CAUGAAGUUGGUAGCUUAUUGAUGAUGAUGAUGAUGAUGUGGAGCUGGCUUCGGAAGACCUCAAUCUGCACAAUUGUUCGUCAACUUCUUGAAUGAGAGGGUGUGACCUGGAAGGGAAGCUGUUAGAGCGAGUGUGGUAAGCCAUUUCUUUCUCGUGGUUUGUGGUGAUAGAAAACUUUGUAGUUGAUGUACAAUUGAAACUGAUGAGUUCUCUCUUCAUACAUCUGCUUCAUAUAUAGUGCAAGUUUAGGAAGGAAACAAGGUAUCUCAUCCACUUUAAACAAUAAUUCAAUAUUAAGAGGUAGCAUGAUUUUGAUCUGGAUCUAUAUGUUCUGCAGCCAAUGUUCAAGCAAUGUCUCUCAUUAACCAGCAUACCAACUCAUGAUAUGAUUCAUUUUGCAUUUAAAUUCUGGAUAUAGCUACUUUCACAGGAACUCAUAAAUUAAAUAUGCAAUAGCAUGAGUGGGAUUGACACUUUGUCCUCUAAUACAUGCACGCGGAAGCAAAAACCAUCCAUCUCAAUUAUGCUGAUUAAUUUAUGUGAUUUAAUUCAUAUUUUGCAGCGGUCCUUCACUUGUUUGUUUCGAAAGAGGAGGCAAGAUCUGCGAUUCUGCAAUGAAUGAAAUUAUUGGCAGGUGGCUUAGCGAACAAGAUGAACUGGACUGUUCCCUCAACAGAUGAAAACCAGCACUAUUCUGGCUAUCAUCAGAAGGGUGUUUCAGUAGAUGCUGUAGAGUAUGUUUUCAUACUUAACUCUUGUGAGUGAUAAACUCAGUUAUUAUAUGGACAUGUUCAAAGGGUUUUAAAUUAAAUUCUUAUAUGAUGUUAGUCAUUAACUUUUACCUGAAAAGAUAGAGGUUAAGUCGGUGAUCCUUCCAGCAUUAAUAUGCUCAGAACCUAACAUGUAGUGUUUAUCUCCCAACCAAUUAUCUCCCAAUUAAUUAGAUAAAACCAGUUUCUUUAAUAUUCUUUUUACCAAAAGAAAUUAUGAACAUAUUAAUCAGCAUAAAUAAAGUUUUCAACAGAUCAAGCUAGAUAAUAUGUGUUUGCCCCCUAAGAACAGUAAGGCAGCCAGCACUAAUCCACUGCGUAAGCGUUCAAGAAUUAAGCCCUGAUCCUUUUAACAUCACUAAUGUAUGUUGAUUAUUGAUUAUAUCCCUUGAGACAAUUGGAAUCUUCCAGCCUUGACAUUAUAUCAUUUGAAUUAAUCCCAUAGCCAUGUGACCUCAAUUAUGAUCUCAAAAUUUUUGAAUUACUUCUCAGCAUUGUACAUUUGGAAGUUACAGUUAAACCUUCCAUCUUCUGAUUGGAUACUACAAUUCUACAAAACAUUGUUUUGUUUUCUCAAUUAAUUUUCUGGAUCGAUACCCAGGAUAGGAUGAUUACAGGAACGUUUAUGAGGCUAAUGGGUGAAUUUUAGUACAGUAUUUAUUAACCAUUGGGGAUCAUAAAAAAUGAAGGUUUUUGAACUAAGAAUCACGAGUUGUGGCAAUGUAAGCAGAAGAGUUUCACUAUGUAUAUUAAUCUGAUUUCAGAAGAGGUAUACAUGUAUAUAUGGAUGUAUUUCUAUGUUCAAAAUGGGUCUAAGUUCUAAUAACUAGUGGUUUAAGAUGUUGAGGAGGGAGACUCUUGUUUUGAUCAAUUGCCUAAUUAGGCACUCGAGUCCUUCUUCUUGGUCUUGAAUGCAUGAAUUCAGAUUGUUAAGCUGGUUGUGUGCAUUGUCUAAAUUCUUUUAUGACUUCAAUGCAGCAUCCACUUGUGCAAAUUCGUUUACUUCCAUUUCUUCCUCGCAAGCUAUUCUUUUAGACUGCACCAUCUUAGAAACCAAAGACCAGCUGCAAGGCUUUGACUUUGGCCCAGAGAUGAAGGACAAAACUGAUUCCAAC